GAAAGGAUGGUUUGACCGGCUGCAAGAAGAGGCGAGAAAAGAUAUUUCAUAAACCUUUAAAACAGUUUCAGUUUUUUUUUU
rnacentral:ribozyme from 1 species